UUCCAAUUUUUAAGCAGAUAUUUCAUUUAAGAAACUACAAGAUAAAAAUCUAUACUUAAAUUUCAUAAUUUCAGGAAUUAAAUAUAUGUAUAAUGAUAUAAGAUAUUUGAAUUCCGUGCGCGGCGCUGAUUGGAAGAGUAAUUUUGUCGUAUCACCAAUCAGAAAUUAACUAAACGAUUCUUUAGACGUGAACGUCAUUCUCCCGCCGAAAACCGUGGCAUAAACAUUACGAUCCGGUUUCAGCAUUCACUAACACUACGAGACUACGAGGUAUGAUGAUUCAUUCCUUCGUGGUGGCGAUUUCUGAGCUCCAAGAGCCAAGAAUAUUUUUCACAUUACGCCACGGAAUGCAGUGUGUGUUUUUUUAUGACUGCCUUUGCGAUAUCUUGGGACGAUUUACUGCAGCGUUAGUGGUACAUCCUUCGCAUCUAAUCGUGAGUUGCAUGAAUUUUUGUUCUUCCGGUCACUCAAUCAUGUCGUAGGAUGAAAGGUCCUAAUCGACACUGGUGACUGGUUGUAUUACGUAGAAUUGUAUGCGAGUAUAGUGACUGCGAGUAUUUAUUAUAUUCGUGAGUAGUAACACUUUGUAUUUUAACGUCUUAUUUACUAGCUUAGGAUAGAUCUUCCUGCACAUUGCGUUUUUUAUAUUACCAAUAUGAUGUUGGUGAUUAAGAUUUUAUAUUAAUAACAUUAAUAUAAUGUUAACAACUGGUAGGAACAAUAUUAUAUUGAUAAUUAUUCUUUGAUAAUUGCAUCACCAGAAUUACUUUUAAAAUACGAUUAUGUAUAUACAUAAGAAUAUACAUGAGACGUGAAUAUUUGUAUCUAUAAUAAAUAUUAAAAUGAUAUUGAUUAUUUCAUAGCGGAAAAGUCUGAUAUCCUCCGGCAUUGUUACAAUUAUUGCACAAUAAUAAUAAUGAGAAUUCAUAAUAUAUAAAAUAAUGUAUAAAAUAAAUAAUUUUAGUAAUAAAUCAUCUUUAAUUUUAUCUUCUGUUUCACUACUAUCUUAAUUUGCAUAAUUCUUUGAUCUUCAUAUUAUAAACUGGAGUAUAAUUUAAAUUGUAUAAUAAAGUAUUAGAGUUCAGUUCCUUCCGUAUGAAAGUAUAUUAAAUGUUAUGUGCAAGAAGAAACUUCGCGACAGGUAAAUUUCUGAAUUAAAGCAACAGGUUUUGAACUCUGCUUUUAUACUUUUUAAAAUAUGCUUUGAUGAAGAGAUAAUCUGAGAUUAUUUAUAUUAAUAUUAAAUUCAGAAUCAGUUAUAAAAUAAAUUUCUUAUUCAUUUCCAAGCUUCUUCUUUCUAAAAUUUUAAUAAUUCA